rnacentral:rRNA from 1 species
GAUGAACGCUGGCGGCGUGCCUAAUACAUGCAAGUCGAGCGAACGGACGAGAAGCUUGCUUCUCUGAUGUUAGCUGCGGACGGGUGAGUAACACGUGGAUAACCUACCUAUAAGACUGGGAUAACUUCGGGAAACCGGAGCUAAUACCGGAUAAUAUUUUUAACCUCAUGGUUCAAAAUUGAAAGACGGUCUUGCUGUCACUCAUAGAUGGAUCCGCGCUGCAUUAGCUAGUUGGUAAGGUAACGGCUUACCAAGGCAACGAUGCAUAGCCGACCUGAGAGGGUGAACGGCUACACUGGUACUGAGACACGGUCCAGACUCCUACGGGAGGCAGCAGUAGGGAAUCUUCCGCAAUGCGCGAAAGCCUGACGGAGCAACGCCGAGUGAGUGAUGAAGGUCUUCGGAUCGUAAAACUCUGUUAUUAGGGAAGACCAUAUGUGUAAGUAACUGUGCACAUAUUGACGGUACCUAAUCAGAAAGCCACGGCUAACUACGUG